AAUUUUGUUUCAGAUAUUCUGGCAACAGGGAAUAGUAACAGCAUCACAGGAGAAAGACAAACAGGAUGCCAAUGUACAUCCCAGUGAUGAGAGCACCUUCUGGAACCAGCUCCUCUGAAGUGCACAUAAGCAAUUAAAAUUCAGUCUGGUAUUUAAUAAUCCAGUUCAAAAUCAGAGAUAUCUAAUCACUUGGUGAAAGACAAAAUUAUUCAAACAGAAAACUCAUCACACAACACCUGCACACAUAACUGCUUAACAGGAAGCUUUCUUUGUUUUGCAUAAUUGCUUAUUAAAUUGCAUACUGGAUUUUUGAGGUGGUAGCAUUUUCAAAUGCCCAACUGCAAAAUAAAAUCAAGAUCCCAAGUAAACAAAAGCCACCUCUUCCUCAAUUUACACUGAGCUUUCUUGCAAGAACCUUACAAAAGCCUAUACUUGUUUGUUUACCCAGGCAGGGAAUGCAUGUUUUGAUGACCAACAACACCCAUGGCUGCAAUGCAGGGUCUGUUCUAGGUUUAGAGUUUCCUCAGAGUUUCCCAAGACCUUUUAAGGCUCUGCUCACAGCAGCUGUUUGUGAAGUUCCCACCCACCAAAAGAACAGUUGCUGAAAUAUGGAAAAAAUCCUGAGCUGCAGAGGGAGUUUGCAGAGCUGAGCCCUCCUCAGCUGGCUGCUCACACACAGCUAAGGCAGGCACAGAACCCAGGCCCUGGACAGCAACCAAAGCCCAGCUGCCACAGAGCUCUGGGCCCAUGGCAAGGUUUGCUCUGCAAGGCUCCAAGGGAGCAAGCAUGGGGCACUCCCAUGGUUUGGAAACCUCAGAGGUCCUGAGCAUUAAACUCCACUAAUUCUUCUUUACCUCACGUAAUUUCAGGCAGAAGCUUUUCAAUAUAAUGGUGAACACUCCAAGCCAAGAAAGAACAACUUCAACUCUGUUCCCAUCUCUUAUCUAAAUAAGAUCUUUCUUUAAAGGACCCUCGAUGGAAGGACCCUACAAAUCACAGAGUCACGAAACAGGUUUUCUCCAGAAGCCAGAGCUCAGAGAUGUAAGAAAAAUCAGAAAAUUCUUCAGAUAACAGAGUUGACUGAAAAGACAUGUCCUGAUUACCAAGAUAAUUUCCAGAGUCAUAUAAACUGGAUUGUUUUUCUUUGAGAACACUACACAGAAAUCUAAGGGGAAAAAAGCAGAGAGGUAGACAACUCUGGAAUAACAGAGCAACAGGAACAGGAAGAAGAAUUCUGCUAAAAUGUGGACAGAAGCAAAAGAAGUGCCAGGCCCUCCUACUUACGAAGAGGUUCAGAGAACGUGAACCAGUGUGCACACAGUUUAACUAAAAUGCUUACCAUUUAA